GGAGCUGGGAAGCAGCUGGUUGACUGAUGCCUUAAAAGGACAGAACAGACUCUGUCAGCCAGGAUAAACCAAGUAAUUCUAAGGUGACCCACCCUUAAAGGCGUACACAACUGGAAAUAGCACAUCCAGCAAGAGACAAGCCUGCAGAGCAAAAAAGAGCAUUAUGCAAAAGCACUUGGUAAGCUGCAAAUACCAUGGUUCCUCCACAAGAAAUCCAUGCAGCAAAGCAGUGGUGACAGCAGACCCCUGCAGUACCCUGCUGAAGUCAGUCAACCAGCCUCUGCACAGCUGCAAGACUUCAGGCUUGCAGAUCCUGGUUCAUGAUGGAGACCUCCUUUUUCAUUCUGAGCCUUUCUUUAAAAAUAAAAACAUCUCUC